rnacentral:rRNA from 1 species
UACAGAGGUCCCAAGCGUUGUUCGGAUUUACUGGGCGUAAAGGGUGCGUAGGUGGCGGGGUAAGUCUGGUGUGAAAGCUCCGAGCUCAACUCGGAAAAGCAUUGGAAACUAUCCCGCUUGAGGGUCGGAGGGGAGACUGGAAUUCUCGGUGUAGCAGUGAAAUGCGUAGAUAUCGAGAGGAACACCAGUGGCGAAGGCGAGUCUCUGGACGACUCCUGACACUGAGGCACGAAAGCUAGGGGAGCAAACGGG